rnacentral:rRNA from 1 species
UAGUCCACGCCGUAAACGAUGAGUGUUAGAUGUCCGAGGUAAACUUGGGUGUCCUAAGCUAACGCGAUAAACACUCCGCCUGGGGAGUACGUACGCAAGUGUGAAACUCAAAGGAAUUGACGGGGACCCGCACGAGCAGCGGAGCAUGUGGUUUAAUUCGACGCAACGCGAAGAACCUUACCAAGUCUUGACACAACUUUGAAGGCAAUUAGAGAUAGUUGCUGUUUGGCUUCGGUCAACAAAGCUAC